rnacentral:misc_RNA from 1 species
GAAAUGCGAUAAGUAGUGUGAAUUGCAGAAUUCAGUGAAUCAUCGAAUCUUUGAACGCACAUUGCGCCCCUCGGCAUUCCGGGGGGCAUGCCUGUCCGAGCGUCAUUACGCACCCUCAAGCCCGGCUUGUGUGAUGGGCCCCGGCGUCUCGUUCGCGAGACGGGCCCGAAAGGCAGCGGCGGCGUCGACCCGAUGAGCCCGAGCGUAUGGGGACUUCUGUCACACGUUCGCGGUGCGGACCGGCGCCUGCUUGACUUUUCUGAUUAUCCAGGUUGACCUCGGAUCAGGUAGGGAUACCCGCUGAACUUAAGC